rnacentral:rRNA from 1 species
UCGAGCGGUGAGAGAAGCUUGCUUCUCUUGAGAGCGGCGGACGGGUGAGUAAUGCCUAGGAAUCUGCCUGGUAGUGGGGGAUAACGUUCGGAAACGGACGCUAAUACCGCAUACGUCCUACGGGAGAAAGCAGGGGACCUUCGGGCCUUGCGCUAUCAGAUGAGCCUAGGUCGGAUUAGCUAGUUGGUGGGGUAAUGGCUCACCAAGGCGACGAUCCGUAACUGGUCUGAGAGGAUGAUCAGUCACACUGGAACUGAGACACGGUCCAGACUCCUACGGGAGGCAGCAGUGGGGAAUAUUGGACAAUGGGCGAAAGCCUGAUCCAGCCAUGCCGCGUGUGUGAAGAAGGUCUUCGGAUUGUAAAGCACUUUAAGUUGGGAGGAAGGGUUGUAGAUUAAUACACUGCAAUUUUGACGUUACCGACAGAAUAAGCACCGGCUAACUCUGUGCCAGCAGCCGCGGUAAUACAGAGGGUGCAAGCGUUAAUCGGAAUUACUGGGCGUAAAGCGCGCGUAGGUGGUUUGUUAAGUUGGAUGUGAAAUCCCCGGGCUCAACCUGGGAACUGCAUUCAAAACUGACUGACUAGAGUAUGGUAGAGGGUGGUGGAAUUUCCUGUGUAGCGGUGAAAUGCGUAGAUAUAGGAAGGAACACCAGUGGCGAAGGCGACCACCUGGACUAAUACUGACACUGAGGUGCGAAAGCGUGGGGAGCAAACAGGAUUAGAUACCCUGGUAGUCCACGCCGUANACGAUGUCAACUAGCCGUUGGANGCCUUGAGCUUUUAGUGGCGCAGCUAACGCAUUAAGUUGACCGCCUGGGGAGUACGGCCGCAAGGGUAAAACUCAAAUGAAUUGACGGGGGC